rnacentral:rRNA from 1 species
AAAACUGAGGCUAAUAUCGUAUAGAUAACUACAACUGGAAUGUGUUGUUAUCCAAAGAUUUAUUGGUUAAGGAUGAGUUGGCGGCUGAUUAGAUUGUUGGUGAGGUAAUGGCUCACCAAGUCUACGAUCAGUAAGGGCCUUGAGAGAGGGAGCCCUGAGAAGGACACUGAGACACUGGUCCUAGCCCUACGGGGUGCAGCAGCUGCGAAACCUUUACAAUGCACGAAAGUGUGAUAAGGGAACUCCCAGUGCUCACAUUGUGGGCUUUUGCCAAAGGUAAACACUUUGGCGAAUAAGUGGUGGGUAAGACGGGUGCCAGCAGCCGCGGUAACACCUGCGCCACGAGUGGGGACCGUUUUUAUUGGGCCUAAAGUGUUCGUAGCCGGUCUAUUAAGUCCUUUGUGAAAUUGUACGGCUUAACCGUACAGCGUGCAGAGGAUACUGAUAGACUUGGAACCGGGAGGAGCUAGAGGAAUUUCUGGGGGAGCGGUAAAAUGCAAUAAUCCCAGGAGGACCAUCUGUGGCGAAGGCGUCUAGCUAGAACGGGUUCGACGGUGAGGAACGAAAGCUGGGGGAGCAAAACGGAUUAGAUACCCGAGUAGUCCCAGCCGUAAACGCUGCGAGCUAGGUGUUGCACAUUCCACGAGAAUGUGCAGUAUCGAAGAGAAGUCGAUAAGCUCGCCGCCUGGGAAGUACGGUCGCAAGGCUGAAACUUAAAGGAAUUGGCGGGGAGGCACACAAGGAGUGCGGCGUGCUGUUUAAUCUAAUUCCACGCAGAGAAUCUUACCAGCAGCGACGGCAGAAUGAAGGUCAGGCUAAAGGUCUUACCGGACGAGCCGAGAGGUAUUGCAUGGCGGGCGUCAGCUCGUGCCGUGAGGUGUCCAGUUAAGUCUGGUAACGAGCGAGACCUAUACUUACAAUUGCUAACGAGCUUGGCGAUCGAGCACAUUGUAAGGACUGCCUGGGAAACCAGGAGGAGGGUGUAGGCCACGCUACGUCUGUAUGAUCCGAACCCGCUGGGCUACAAGCGCGCAACAAUGGUAGGUACAAUGGGAUACGACACCGAAAGGUGAAGUCAAGCCUCGAAAGCCUAUCUCACUCCAGAUUGAGGAUUGUAACCCAUCCUCAUGACGCCGGAAUUCCUAGUAAUCAGAGUUUAUCAGACUCUGGUGAAUGUGUCCCUGCCUCUUGCACACACUGCCCGUCAUCCCACCCGAGUGGAGGUUUGGUGAGGUCUUGUUUGACGAUAAGAUCGAACCUAAUCUUCGCGAGGAGGGGCAAGUCGUCACAAGGUA